rnacentral:lncRNA from 1 species
AGCUGGCUUGGUCGUGAACUUGUUUGCGAAACAUGCGACUAUAGACUAUUACUUUUAGCAAAAGCCCCCUAGUUGUUCCAUUUCAGUUCUGAUGCACACCUAGUUGUAGUAUUCACAUGUCCCAUAGCUAACCGGAAAACGGCUUAAUUUGAGACUCUAACCACCUCAAAUAAUGCUAGAGGUUCGAAACCGAUUGGCCCCUUUUUAAUAAUAUUAAUUUUUUCAUACCAAAAAAAGAUUGUGCUAGAAAAUUAGAAAUAUACCUAAAUCAUCAGGCUGAAAUGGACCAGUAGGCUUUAUAAGGAUAUAGUGGUACCCAACUCAUCAUAAAACAAAUAGAGAUAGAGAUUACACAUGCACAUAAAGCCCCCCGCACACACGAGAGUUAAACGUAACUAUUAUUAGUACGAAAGGCCAUGUGAAUGAAUGAAAAGACACAAAUGUCUUCAGUUUAAAAAAAGAAAAAAAAAAGACACAAAUGUCUGAAACAUCCAUUUGGUGUUUUGUCUCCAUAUCAUUUCCCAAUUUCAAAAAAAUGGCAGAUUAAAACUAACUAUGGGACAUGUAAUAUGGUGAAAAUCCGCCAACUUCAUUGCAAAUAGCCAAAUAUGAAGGAUGAGCUUAUACGUCAAUAAUUGUUCUGUAGCGAAACAAGUUUUAUCUCUUGACUUUUUCAAACGCCAAUAUUUAUUUGAAAUACUAACGAUUAUAAGCCCAAACCUGAUCCCGUAACUGUUAACAAGGUAUGGCCUAGCAAGGUCAGAGCCGUGGUUUAUUAUUGGAGAUUUGAAUGAGAUAACUGGGAAUCAUGAAAAAGAUGGAGGGGCCA